CCCUUAGAUGUUCUGGGCCGCACGCGCGCUACACUGAUAAUGUCAACAAGCUUUACCUUGACCGAUAGGUCUGGGCAAUCUUCGAACUAUUAUCGUGAUGGGGCUAGAUUAUUGCAACUAUUAAUCUUAAACGAGGAAUUCCUAGUAAGCGCGAGUCAUCAGCUCGCGUUGAUUACGUCCCUGCCCUUUGUACACACCGCCCGUCGCUCCUACCGAUUGGAUUGGCUGGUGAAGCGUUCGGAUUGUGGGUUCGGAGCGGUUCGCCGUUCUGGGCUUGCGAGAAGUUCGUUAAACCCUCCUAUCUAGAGGAAGGAGAAGUCGUAACA
rnacentral:rRNA from 1 species